rnacentral:misc_RNA from 1 species
ACACCUCACUACUAUAACUUUUUUUGUUAUAAUAGUGGACUUGGAAUGCGCUGGUGUCAAUCAGCCCUUCUAAAAUGGAGUUCUUGCACUGUUGAUUUGUUUUAACAGCAUGUUGGCCUAAUAAGUUUCGGCAGUAAUGUUGAAAUCACUGGCUUUUUUUGCUUAGAAUCUGACAGUCUUGAUAUACAGAAUUUUUGAGGUGACUUGUCUCCUCUUCAAA